rnacentral:lncRNA from 1 species
UUUUUUUUUUUUUUUUUUUGAGACGGAGUCUUGCUCUGUCACCCAGGCUGGAGUGCAGUGGCCGGAUCUCAGCUCACUGCAAGCUCCGCCUCCCGGGUUUACGCCAUUCUCUUGCCUCAGCCUCCCGAGUAGCUGGGACUACAGGCGCCCGCCACCUCGCCCGGCUAUUUUUUUGUAUUUUUUAGUAGAGAUGGGGUUUCACCGUGUUAGCUGGGAUCUCGAUCUCCUGACCUCGUGAUCCGCCCGUCUCGGCCUCCCAAAGUGCUGGGAUUACAGGCUUGAGCCACCGCGCCCGGCCUUCCUGCUCCAUUUUUAUGCCUUCACUUUAGUGACAAUUAUUAAGUGCUGACUUUGCACAGGCGCUGAUGAUGCAGAGCUGGAAGGUGCCAGUCCUUGGAUGCUGCUGGUCGCUUCUUCCCUCAGAACCAUCUCUACAACAGGCAGGGAAGACUGGAUUGGAAGAUUUAAAGGCUCUUCAUGUCUAAGGUCUAUGAAUCCAAGAUUCUGAAACCCCUCAUUUCACCCAGUCCUAGUUUAGGACCAGCCUCUCUCGCACCUUGACUUUAAAUGCUCUUUGGGGUCCUAGGCAGCUACAGAUUCUGAUAGUCCAGUAAAUAACUGCCCUGAGAGAAAAAGCACCCAUGUGUGUGUGAGUGCAUGCGUGUGUGUGUGUGUGUGCAUGCACAUGUGCACACACAUGGUCUUAUAAUGUAGGGAUGACCAAGAAACAGAGCUUGGGUCCAAACAAUAGUUUGUACUCACAUGGAAGCAGAGCCGACACCUUGCCUGGCUUCCUCUGGGAGUCAUCAGGCAUAGCACACACCACGGACAGAAAACAAUGCUGUGCACCUUGAGAUAAACAAACUGUGUCACCCGAAUAUUCGUCCCCCAAAUAAAAGGGAACUUGAGCCAUUCAUCAGUUAAAUAUGUUGCUGACACGCUAAUAAAAAGCAACUGUAUUCUGACAUUCACAGUACUGAUGUGUGAUAACCUUAUGCACUGUGACACCGAAAAUUCAAGUACUGUCUUGACUUCUUGGAGUUGCACAGGCCUGGAGAGUUUCCUUGCUUUUGUUGGAUAUGCCCACAGCCAAGGACAAGGUUCCUUAGCUGGCUGGUUCCCCUAUAACCAGACCAGCUGCACCCCACCUAGCCCCUAAGCCCAACGGGUGCCACCUUUUGCAGGCUGUGGAAUUGUUCAAACAAUCCAAUCGCAUCC